CACUGAACAAUCUAGUAUUUAACUUUAUGAUCAAACCAACUUGUCAUGGUCUAGAAAUGAUUUUAAAUUCAUAGUUUUACUAAUUUACAAUCUGCAGUUAAUGUCUUCUCUGUAAUUUUUACACUUUGAGGACCGGAUUGGACCCUCUGGAGGACCGCGUUUGACCCACACGCCGCAUGUUGGACACCUCUGCUCUAAGUGCAGCUAAAGAGUGGUUACCUCCAUGGAGAGAGUUUGGAGAUGGUACACAGACUGCAGGCCUUGGGAGGUGAAGUACUCGAUGAAGUUCUGGCAGCCCAGACUGGUGGGAUUCACAGAGAAGCAAAAGGACCUUCAGAGUCCACCAGUGGCUGUGGCACCAGCUCCACCAGCUCCAAGCUGUCCUUGAUCUUCAUCAGCAGCUCAAAGUUCUCCCGACCACGAACCUGCACAAAAACACAACGGAUACUGUAACCCAAGGCAGUCAGGAGAUAAAGCCAACCAUUAAAAACGCGGCUGAUGAACCACCGACCUGUGGAGCCUCGUAGGGCACAAAGACGCUCUGCCGACCGGUGACGGGGUCGUCCACGUACUGGCUCAGGUUGUUUCCCUCCACUCGGAUCAGAUGGCUGGCCGGAGCUGCUUGGCCUGAGGAGGGAAGGAUGACAGAAAAACGGGCAUGGCUCUGAUGAUGCUGCCGUGUGGCGGAGAGGAGGACAGCUUGAUCUGGAUCGGACAUGUUUUGGCAAUCUGACAGUAGAGCUUCUUCAGCAAAGGAGAGUACUGGUGUUGCAGUUUGGCUGAGAAACAUCCUAAGCUGGAGAAUGGGAGGAAGACAAAGGGGCUGAUGGACAUAUUUUCGGAAAGGACAGGGAGAAACUUUAGGCGCCAGAGGUGACAGCCAUGAGUGUGUUGCUAAGACCACAGGAAGAAAGAGACAGAGGAAGAAAAGCAGCGGGUCAAAGACCACCGCUCUAAUGUCCAGAGGGGGAUCCUCUUACAUCACCGAGGGCUGAGUAGAGGAGCCCACCAUGCAUGGUUAGUCCCAGCAAACACAGCCGCCGAGGACCGCAGUUUGUCACACGGAGACACUCACAGGCCUGAUCGCACACACACACACACACACACACACACACACACACACACACACACACACACACA